rnacentral:misc_RNA from 1 species
GGUGGAAACGGUCUUCCACUUGAGCGGAGUGGGGAAGGAAAAGCUGCCGCAAAUCCCAGCUCCUAAAUGAAGAGACCGAGACCGAGGCCGAAAAUACCACUUUCCACCACCACAAAAUCACCGCCGCCACCACCUCCUACUCCACCACAAACGCUCCUCAAUCCUCACAACUCCAAAAGCACCAUCCAAAUCUCCUUACAGAAACCCAAAAAACCCAUCCUCAAAGCCGCCACCACCACCAGAAAAACAGCGACGCACAUCGCAAAUUGGGUCCCACUUGACCUUAUCCAAUCGGAACUCUCUCUUCCCCUCACAUUCCCCACUGGCCAAACCUUCCGCUGGAAACAAACGGGUGCCUUCCAGUAUACCGGCACUCUCGGCCCUCACUUGAUAUCGCUCAAGCAUCAUCAUGAAAACGGCGACGUUUAUUACCACAUCCACCGAACCCCCUCAGAAUCCGCCGCCAAACUAGCUCUUCUCGAUUUCCUCAACAUUGAUAUCUCACUCACCGAUAUUUGGGCUGAGUUCUCGGCCUCGGACUCGCGGUUUGCGGAGCUAGCGCUACACUUGAAGGGGGCUAGGGUUUUGAGGCAGGACCCACUGGAGUGCUUGAUUCAAUUCCUGUGUUCUUCCAAUAAUAACAUUGCGAGAAUCACUAAAAUGGUGGAUUUUAUAUCUUCUUUGGGAGAAUAUCUGGGGAAUGUUGAGGGUUUUGAGUUUCACGAGUUCCCGUCUUUGGAACGAUUGGCUAUUGCCACUGAGCAGGAGCUUAGAGAGGCUGGUUUUGGUUACAGGGCAAAAUAUAUAACUGGCACUCUAGAUGCUUUGCAAUUAAAACCUGGUGGAGGUGCAGAGUGGCUUGCAUCUCUCCGUAAAUUGGAUCUACAAGUGGUGAUUGAUGCUCUUUGUACUUUACCUGGAGUUGGGCCCAAAGUGGCAGCGUGCAUAGCUCUUUUCUCUCUUGAUCAACACCACGCCAUUCCUGUUGAUACACAUGUGUGGCAGGUAUUUUCUGUGAUUUUUAAAUUGCUUGCUGUACUUGUUUUUGUAUUGACUAUUCCCAAUUUGGGAUUCGAUGGAAUCUAAAAUUCUGUGGAGAGCCUUUGUUGAGUUGGUUGAUCAGAAUCCUUGCCCAACUAUAAAGGUGGGUUUGGAGAGUAGAUUUCAUCCAAUAAAAGUUUUGUUGGUCUAGACUUCAGAGUUUUGAGAAGUGAAUUUGCAAUUCCCUGUCAUUGUUAAAGAAGUCCCUUUCUCAACUGUGCAGCAGAAUGAAUACUAUCUUUCACCAGUUUGAGUAGGCAUAAGCUAUUGAAAUUAGUCCUAUGCAAAAGGAAAAGAAAAAUAGUAAAUUCAUGUAUUAAUUUUUCUGGAAUUUUCUUUCUGCAUUUGAGUUGGCAAUGUUGGUCAAACUGUGAUGCUUGUUCAGAUGUAUGACAAUUAGGUUGUUUUCAUAGAUUGAUUAUGCUCCAUUUACUCGGGAUUAUGGUAGUGAAAGAUAAUUAUGUUUUUAAGUUGUUAAAUUCCAACCUGAGCUGAGUUGAUCAAUCUUUUGGUUACCUGUUGAUUUUGGAAUUCAUAAAGCAUAAUAUUUAUAUAAGUUAGAAGAAUAUACAAGUAGAUGAAACACAUGAUGGGCAGAUCAAGAAGAAUAAGUUCAUCCUCACUUUUUCUUCUUCCUUCUCUUUUUUUGAGAGGAUAGGAUUGAUCCUUUUAAAAGCUUCAUUCUGUUGUUAUAAUGAUUAUACUCGGUAUGACUGCGCUGGUCCCUUCUUGGAUAAUAUGGCCGUGGCCUCAUUAUGGUACUGCUUAACAUAUUAGCAACAUUGCAUUGUACUAUUUUAUAUUUUUUUGUUGAUGAAUGAAGAAGGUCUGAUAUUUUUGAAUUGAAGGUCUGAUAUCAAAAUGUUCUUUUGGGGCCUUGUGUAGUUUGCUACACGAUAUCUACUACCUGAGCUUGCUGGUGCCCGCCUGACACCAAAGCUGUGCAGUCAAGUGGCAGAUGCAUUUGUAAGAAAAUAUGGGAAAUAUGCUGGAUGGGCACAAACUCUACUUUUCAUUGCUGAGCUGCCUGCCCAAAAAACCAUUUUACCAUCUCAAUUUGGGAAUAUCACAGAGAUUAAACCUGCUAUCG